GUAGUUUGGAAAGAGAAGUCAUGGAAAUCCAUUGGUCGAAAUGUGUAUGAACCCUGGUUAUAAGAGUGGAAAAACGUUGCCUGGUCUGAUGGGUCUCAAUUUCUGUUGUUUCUCAUUAGUUGAACACGCAAAGAAAAUUUCAAAAAGGGAGGUAUCUAGGAGGCACACAGAUGCCAAACCAGAGCUGGCCAUAAUUGCUAACUUAGUUGAGUGUCUCUUUCAAAAAGAUUCCUGUAUAAUUGGCUUUUGUACAGCUGCAUAAUCUAAAAAUUGUGACCAACAUAUUUGCCACACCUUGUCUUCUCCUCGACCAUAUAAAGCAUCGCUGCAAGUCAUCUGUCAGUCACUUGACACAUCAGAGACAGUGUAUGCUUCUUUCUCCACUUUGCAUCUACACAGUCUCAAAAUGUGCAAGCUCACUCUAACUGCUGGUCUCUGUUUGAUCAUCGCCAGCUUGGGUGUACCUGGCUUUGCGAGAAAUCUUCGAGUUUACAAAACAUCACAUGGAAACCCUUGUUAUGGAAGACCAGAUGGGCUGUACCCCAACCCCAAUGAUCAGCACUCGUAUUACAACUGUGUUUGGGGACGCACCUACAUCCAAAAGUGCCCAGAACAUUUGGUGUAUAGGCAUUCCAUAACUGCUUGUUACUAUCCUGGAUCACCUGUAACAGGCAGUUCAUCUCAUGAAAUCUGUGAUCCCAUGACUACAACCAGUACUCCCACCAUGACUCCCAUGACCACCAGUCGCCCCACCACAACAAUUGCAACAACAACUCACCGUACGACAACAACAAACACGCCCACUACCACCACUAACACCCACCCAGAGCCACCUACUAAAUAAUUUGCACACCUCUGUUAUGGAAAGGCAGGCAGAUACUUUCCUCAUCCAACGGACCCAACACAAUAUAUCCAAUGUGCCAUUCAAGGAAGAGUUUUCAUCCAGUCGUGUGCAGCGGGUUUGACCUUUAAACCGGCAUUCAGUGUCUGUACUUAGAAAUGCGGUCAAGUGUGUCAAUACAUCUGGCCGUGUAUUUACAAUUGUUGUCUUAUAAUUCAAGGUAAUCUAAAUCAGUCUGGUGUGCCUCUUGUUUUUCCACUGCCUACCUAAUUACUUUUAUAUUCACAUUGUGGCAAACCAGGGGGAGGAACAAAGCACUUGGGGCGGAGCCCCAAGCUCCGGUUGGGGGAGGUGAUAAGGGGGAUUUAUUAUCCUGUGCAG
ensembl:lncRNA